CUCUAGGGGAUCCCCCCCCCCCACAGUGAAACCUCCGUCAUUCUCUACAACCUAUCAACUACCUGGACCCCAGUGGAGGCUGGUGGGAGGAGCUAUACGAGGACGAGCUCAUUGGAAUAGCUGGAAUGGAAUAAAUGGAAUGGUAUCAAACACAUCAAACCUAUGGAAACAACAUGUUUUAUUUAUUCCAUUCCUGGACAUUACAAUGAGCCCGUCCUCCUAUAGCUCCUCCCACCAGCCUCCACUGCUGGGCACAGAUGAACCACCUUGCCUAUCGAGGUGGGACCAGACAGACACUGGGAACAGGACAAAAACACACAUCUACAGACGGAAUAUACAGGAAGUCCUGCAAUAACCAACGACAGAUCAGAUGUGUGAUAUCAGGAUCCAUGGACUUUCUCCAAACCUCUCUGAACCAAUCGAUACAAGCAGACUCCCUGUGGGAAACAUGGCAGCGAGAUACCAAAGAUAUACUGGUUACCAGGAACCUGAAGAUGAAGAUGCUGGAGAAAGAGGCUACUGGGAGUGUUUCUCUGGCAGUGUCUUAGCUGGUUGUUGUGAGGGAGAGAACGAAGCAAUCAGCAAGUAUACUGCCUCAGAAACUCUUCGCACUACGACCCCAGGCCCCCCGGAAACAGCAAGUAGGCCUUUGACGCCUGGCUCUCAGCUGUCACGAAGGAAGGAAGGAAGGAAGGAAGGAAGGAAGGAAGGAAGGAAGGAAGGAAAGAAAAAAAGAAAGAAAGAAUGGAAGGAAGGGAGGAAGGAAGGAAGGAAGGAAGGAAGGAAGGAAGGAAGGAAGGAAGGAAGGAAAGAAGGAAAGAAGGAAAGAAGGAAAGAAAGAAAGAAGGAGAAGAUCAUUAUGUAUUUUCAGUAUGACUACUACUACUCGACUCUGGUGAAGUUUUUCACGUGUGAUGAUAGACUGAUGAUGCUUUUUGGGAUGUGAUGACAAUUUAAUCCUUCAUCUUGUGUCUCAGAUGUUGAGUUGAGACAAACCAUACGUACCGGUAUGUGUUUAUGUAUAAUUAUGAAUGAAGGAUCAUUUGGGGUUUUGACAUACAGUUAACCCUGAAACCUUAAAUAAUCACUUGCUUUGGCUUUUUGUAAAUAAAACAACAAAAAAUACAAAUUUUUAAACCAGUAAAUAUGUGUAUACCUUUACUUUGUCUAAACAUUCCUCAUUUCCAGUUUGAUCUGCAUUUGUGCUUAUAAAACCACUGGAUUCCAUCUGCGCUCAGACCCAGACGGGCUUGAAGCUGACCUUGAGUCCAGAGAAACAAUGUACGGGCCACAACCACCGCAGUACAACAGUCACCUGAGUUUGACUGUCAGCGUCAGUUAACCCGUUUGCAUUGUGAGGUUAUCAUUGAGCAAAUGGCAAACCCAAAUUACACAAACAUAGGCAUAUAGGCAGGGGAUUUAAUCUGCAAACAGAAUCAUCAAAGACAUGUGAAGAUACAGAGAAAAUACACUGACUCCUCCAUUUGUGAGCUAAUUGUGAUCUGGACUGAACCUCAUGGGACUCUGAGUAGAAUCCAGGAAGGUGCGAUAUAAGGGGAAGGUGUGAUAUAUGGGAAGGUCUGAUAUAGGGGAGGGGUGAUAUAGGGGAAGGUGUGAUAUAUGGGAAGGUCUGAUAUAGGGGAAGGGGUGAUAUAUGGGAAGGUCUGAUAUAGGGGAGGGGUGAUAUAGGGGAAGAUGUG
rnacentral:lncRNA from 13 species